rnacentral:lncRNA from 1 species
UCCAGUUUCUGGGGCUGGAUGCCGGCGUCUUCCAGCACCGGCCACAGAGCGUCGUGCACCUGAAGACAAGAAUCAGAGGGAGUUUUCCUCCGCCUCCUGCUUCAGGCGCUGCCACUUGCGCUGCGCUUCUGGGGCUAAACGCCGGCUUUCUGGCGCGUGACCUACACCUCGGUGAGUUUUCUUCUCCUGAUUAUUGAGGAGCGAGGCUUUUGCAAAAGGGAAAUCAGAAUUGUGCCUGCAUUUUAUUAGCCUUGUGGCUAUUUGCAAAUUAAUUGGGAAGGCAGAAUAAUUUACUUCUUGUAUAGAAUUCAGUUUUGAUUACUGGCGUGUCACUAAAGUUCCAGCUUCCACCAGAGCUCUUAUUAUGAGAAAUUAAGAUACCUUUCUCCUUCCCCCAAAUAAAAUAAACAUACGGCUGUGGGACGCGAUCAAAUUAAAAAAUAUCAUUUAAUCCAAGGGAAGAUAAUUAUUUGAAUGAAACUGGAGAGGAGAAACUCAAUCUAGGGUUUGAAUGUUGACAUGAAAUUGUGAAGGCUAUUUUCACUCAUCACUGACUUUUAAUAGCACUUUUGCUAAUGAAUCCGACUAGUAUCCAUGAGGACGUGGGUGUGAUCCCUGGCUUCACUCAGUGGGUUAAGGAUCCGGCGUAGUUGUGAGCUGUGACAUAGGACAGCAGCUGUGGCUCUGAUUCGAGCCCUAGCCCGGGAACGUCCGUAUGCUGUGGGUAUGGCCCUAAAGAAAAAGACAAAAACAAACGAAAACACGGUGAAGUAAAGAGACCGAGGCAGGGAGUGUCUUUAGAGAGGGAAGGGAUGACAGCCUGCCGAAAUCUGUGUCCAGGAUGUGGCCAUGUCAAGAUGUACAAAGAGAGCUUUUCAGAGAAGGGAAGGUCCAGAUAGAAAAGUUCUAGGGCAGGAGUGACCUGGGCCCUUUGAAGAUCAGAAAUGAAGCCACUUGUUAGGAGCUGUGGAAUCAACGGGGAGAGAGGUAGACGGAGAUGUUGCCCAGCAGGCAGGGUGAGGGCUGGGUACUGAACUAUGUUGGGAAACCAUUAGAUAGAGUUCAUCAGACUCAUAACAUGAUGUGAUGCUCUUUUAAAAUAAGAUCAUCCGGGCUUCUUGAAGAGACCAAGACCAGAACCCGGAGCACCAGGCAAGGAGCUGUGGUGGCUGCUGGGGAAGAAACACUGGUGUCUGGCAUCAGGCAGCGGAGGAUAUGGGGGGAGCAGUGAGGUGGGGUGGGAAAGGCUUUGGCGCUAAUUCAGCAGGACUUGCUCUUGAAGAACAUGACAGGAGGGAGAUAAAGGGACUGAGGAUGGGCCAGACUGACAGAGGGGUGCCAUUUCCAGGGAGGAAGAUCACCAGGAAAGAAGGUGGCUUAAAAAAGUCAAUCAAGAGUUUUGUUUGAGCCUGGUCUUUAGACCUUCAAGUAUAGAAGUCAUAUAGAGAGGUCUGUACAUUAUUCUAGACUAGUUGCUUUUCUGUCCUAGUAGUUUAAAGAUCAAAAUUUAAGACUCAAACUAGUUAAAAAUGCAUAUUUAGCUUGACAUGCUCUGAAUCCUCCCUUGUGUAACAAUAAUCUUCAUUCGUUGAGUCUUUGUGCAGAGUAAGGCAAAAUCCCCUUUUUUACACAUAAACUUCCAAUGAAUUUUUGAUGAACGCUUUCACCUUGAAGUAGAGUGUAUGUGUGUGUAAGAAAAAAAGAAGAAAGAAAGAAUGAAUGAAUAUGGGAGAGAAGGUUAAUCUUUUAUCCUUUUCAGACACCUUGCACUCACACUGGUUUGGUAAGCUCCACUGCAAAGGUAUGAUAUUGGUACUUGGAUCACUGUGAUUAAAUUUGGCUUCAUGUAAUCAAACAUCUUCCACAAUGGUUUAAACACAAAAGGUUUAUUCUCACAAGUAGAAGAAUAAUCGGAGCUAGACAGUCCAAAGCUGGUAUGGCAGCUUUAUGAAAUCACCAAGGGAUACAGGCUCCUUCUGCCUUGCUACUCAUCUAGUUUUAGCUUACUGCCUCGUGGCCCAAAAUAGCUACAGAAGCUCCAGCCAUUAUGUAUCCAUUCCAGGCCACAAGAAAGUAGAAGGAGAAGGUCAUACCCCUUUUUCUUAAAGAUCAUUUUUGGAGGUAUGCUACCACACUUCUGCUUAUAAUUCAUUGUCAUAUGUCUACAUCUAACUUCAAGGGAAGCUGGGAAAAUAGUCUCUUAGUAGAGUGACAUUUGCUGAGAGAGAGUGUCAGUGGAUAUUAGCAGGCAUCUGGCAGCUUUGCCUUAGCCAUAGCUUGCCCACUUUACUUGCCUAAGAGCACCUAACUUAAAACAGGUAGGCAGAGCCGAGACCUAAAUUUUGCUAUUAUUCAUUCUCUGAUUUUCUGCCUUUCCUCUCCUCAGCUCUUCUAUUAUCUUCACAGUUGAGAAAAUGGCUAGUUUUUCUCAAACACCCUCUCAGAGCUAUUUAUUUUCCCAUUUUUAGCAUGAGGACCAUUCUCUGAGUUCUGCAAAGUGUUAUGGGGAACAGAAGAAAGGAGAGCGCUGAUUUCAACCUUGCAAUGCAAUCGCUCCCAACUUCCAUAAAUCAGCAGGUUUUCAGGAGGCAGCGAGGAGAGCGCCAUCCGAUUUUUACACACCUGAUUCGCAAUAAAAUCUGCACAGGGGCUUCUGGGGUGCUUAUUUUCCCAAAAGGCUGAGGCAGCAGAAAUCCAUCUAUUUUACCAGGGGAGAAGGAUUCACCCAUUUAGAAGUAACUGGUAAGUGCUGGGCUAGAACAUUUUAACUCCCAGUACCCAUUUUUAAUACAGCUCGGUGGGACAUAUCUUUGCAUGUGUCCUGAGACUCCCAGAGAGGAUCCUUAGCGACUUUUCUGCCGUAAACCAAAGAUUCAUUUUUUGAAAAAGAGGAAGAACGGUAAAUCCUUGGAUCUCAGAUCUUUGCCCCGGCGUGAGUGCGGGGCUUUGUGAAGUCCGGUAGUGGUGAUUCCUCUUGCUGUAGAAGAGCUACCCACUUCCCUCCUCUGAUAGACCCAUCCACUGGAUUACGUGAUGGACACCUGAACCUUCAGCUUGGCUUUCGUGCCUGUACGGCUGGGGGCCCUGUGUCAACGUAAAGCCAAGACAUGGCUCACCUACAAGCAGAGGCAACGAUUAGCUAGACGCUCAGGAAGCCACUUCAGGUGUUGGAGCUCAGGUUCCCUCACUCUCCAGGGAAGUGGGGUCAGACCAUUUGAGACUUACCAUGCUCCCGAACUGGCCGAGGAGGUGGUGAGAGCUGGGAUCGGUUAUCCUCAGUGUGCACCCCAUGAAGGAGGUGCUCAGCAGGGGUCUGUUAGGUGAGCCCCUUGGAUGAAACACCCCUUCUUGGCCUCUGCACAGGAGGGGGAGCUUUGCCUGCAUGUUCUCACGCAGUCCGCUUGGCAGCUUGCUGCCACGGCUGCUGUCCUGCAUGUUUUGGAGCAGGGGAGACUGAGGCUGAGGGCGAUGGGAAGCUCAGACUUAUAAUACCGUUAUAUGGGCUUGCUUUCAGGAAAGCCAACUCAUUCCAUGUAUAUUCAAAAUCAGUGACGGUUUUAAACUUAGCAGCAAUAGGCAUGAGUAAGUUGAACCAUGUGAAAUGGGUACUUGAUGGUGUUUGUGCUACAAAAAUGUCAAUGCCAUGUGGUUCAGUUAGUAGAUUUAAAAAAAAAAAAUCUAGCCAGGUCAUUUUCCUCACUUUGGAACUUGGCAAGUAGAAGUACCGAGGGACUUCUAGAAUAGCUAAUUCUAGUGCAACUGGACGGAGUACCUGCCUCAUCUAAAGCCAGUCAGCACUGGCAUUAUCGGAAGGCUGGGUCAUUACUCCUUGUUGAACGUCUGUCAUCUCCUAUCCUUUCUGUUCCCUACCAGAAUCUGCUGUCACAUCAGACAUAGGACUUGUAUUUCCUAAGUGGUAGAUUUUUUAAUGUAAUUUUUGUCGUUGCCUUUUGGGAAAAAAAAAUACUGCUAGAGUGCUUCAGUUAUAAAAUUGAAAAGAGGAGUUUCCUUUGCCGCUCAGCAGAUUAAGACCCUGACUAGUAUCCAUGAGGAUGCAGGUUUGAUCCCUGACCUCUCUCAGUGGUUUAAGGAUCCAGUGUUGCUGGAGCUGUGGUGUAGGUUGCACAUGUGGCUUAGAUCCCCUGUUGCUGUGGCUGUGGUGUAGACGGACGUAGCUCCAAUGAGACCCCUAGCCUGGGAACUUCCACGUGCUGUGGGUGCAGCCCUACAAAGACCAAAAAAAAAAAAAAAAGCCUGAGUAAGUUUAUUGCAACAAGAUUCACAAUAUAUACGUGAUCUCAGCCAACACAGAAAAAUGUGACUGGAGAAUAUAUCAGGGUGAUACUAGUGAUUGUCUUUUGUUUUCUCCCUGCUCCUUUAUGCUUUCACAUUCUUUCCAGUUUUCUUAUAUUACUCCCUUUGGGAAGAAAAGCAAAUCCUCAAAAAUGAAGGAAAACUCUUUGAAAAUAGAAUUUAAAUAUGGCAGGACAAAAAUAUUAUUGUGGAGUUCCUAUCGUGGUUCAGUGAAAAUGAAUCUGAUUACUAUCCAUGAGGACGCAGGUUCAAUCCCUGGCCUUGCUCAUUGGGUCAGGGAUCUGGCGUUGCCGUGCGUUGUGGUGUAGGUCACAGACGCAGCUGGGAUCCCACGUUGCUGUGGCUGUGGUGGCAUAGGCCUGCAACUACAGCUCCAAUUUGACCCCUAGCCUGGGAAUGUCCAUGUGC